GACGAACGCUGGCGGCGUGCUUAACACAUGCAAGUCGAACGGAAAGGCCCUGCUUUUGUGGGGUGCUCGAGUGGCGAACGGGUGAGUAACACGUGAGUAACCUGCCCUUGACUUUGGGAUAACUUCAGGAAACUGGGGCUAAUACCGGAUAGGAGCUCCUGCUGCAUGGUGGGGGUUGGAAAGUUUCGGCGGUUGGGGAUGGACUCGCGGCUUAUCAGCUUGUUGGUGGGGUAGUGGCUUACCAAGGCUUUGACGGGUAGCCGGCCUGAGAGGGUGACCGGCCACAUUGGGACUGAGGUACGGCCCAGACUCCUACGGGAGGCAGCAGUGGGGAAUAUUGCACAAUGGGCGGAAGCCUGAUGCAGCAACGCCGCGUGCGGGAUGACGGCCUUCGGGUUGUAAACCGCUUUCGCCUGUGACGAAGCGUGAGUGACGGUAAUGGGUAAAGAAGCACCGGCUAACUACGUGCCAGCAGCCGCGGUGAUACGUAGGGUGCGAGCGUUGUCCGGAUUUAUUGGGCGUAAAGGGCUCGUAGGUGGUUGAUCGCGUCGGAAGUGUAAUCUUGGGGCUUAACCCUGAGCGUGCUUUCGAUACGGGUUGACUUGAGGAAGGUAGGGGAGAAUGGAAUUCCUGGUGGAGCGGUGGAAUGCGCAGAUAUCAGGAGGAACACCAGUGGCGAAGGCGGUUCUCUGGGCCUUUCCUGACGCUGAGGAGCGAAAGCGUGGGGAGCGAACAGGCUUAGAUACCCUGGUAGUCCACGCUGUAAACGGUGGGUACUAGGUGUGGGGUCCAUUCCACGGGUUCCGUGCCGUAGCUAACGCUUUAAGUACCCCGCCUGGGGAGUACGGCCGCAAGGCUAAAACUCAAAGGAAUUGACGGGGCCCCGCACAAGCGGCGGAGCAUGCGGAUUAAUUCGAUGCAACGCGUAGAACCUUACCUGGGUUUGACAUGGAUCGGGAGUGCUCAGAGAUGGGUGUGCCUCUUUUGGGGUCGGUUCACAGGUGGUGCAUGCCUGUCGUCAGCUCGUGUCGUGAGAUGUUGGGUUAAGUCCCGCAACGAGCGCAACCCUUGUUCACUGUUGCCAGCACGUUAUGGUGGGGACUCAGUGGAGACCGCCGGGGUCAACUCGGAGGAAGGUGGGGAUGACGUCAAGUCCUCAUGCCCCUUAUGUCCAGGGCUUCACGCAUGCUACAAUGGCUGGUACAGAGAGUGGCGAGCCUGUGAGGGUGAGCGAAUCUCGGAAAGCCGGUCUCAGUUCGGAUUGGGGUCUGCAACUCGACCUCAUGAAGUCGGAGUCGCUAGUAAUCGCAGAUCAGCAACGCUGCGGUGAAUACGUUCCCGGGGCC
rnacentral:rRNA from 1 species